rnacentral:lncRNA from 1 species
CUGAAGAUUUAAUCAGGUGUGCAGAGUUAGCUCAAUUCAGCAAGAACUUAACAAGGCAAAGAGAGGACGGAGAUUGGGCUGGGGCCAGGUAUCUGGGAGCUGGGUCUGCUCUCCUGGGUGGAGCUUUCCCAGGCCAGUGGUGCAGACCAAUGGGGACUGAAGUUGGAGAUCCUGGUAAGACAGCUCCAGGGAUACCCAAAGGAAAAAACCAAGCUAAUGGAGGCAGCCAGAAAACAGGACACACCGCAGAACAAAAGAUGGAUCACCAAGUGGAAAAAUGAAGCAGAGGAGAUCGGAGGAGGCUUUCUGCCCUCAGAGAGGGUUAGUUUCCAGGGUAAGGGAAUCCCAGGGGCAAUUCACCACUCCGGGCUCCUCACAGAAACCAGUGCCCAAGUCCCCUCCUGCAAUGUGAUCUUCCAAACUAAAGAAAAGGUCUGCAGAGCCUCCAGGAGAAGAUUCAGGGAAGCUGCUCUGGUGAAAAGGAAGCAGGGAUUGCAGGAUGGCGGAUCUUCAAAGGGAAAAAGGAGACCAUAGAGCAGCUCUGUUGAAUUGAAAUAUGACACAGCUUUCCUAGUAAUUUAAAACUUUCUAAUAGCCACACUAAUAAAAGUAAAAAUGGACAGGUGAAAUUAAUUUCAAUGAUAUAUUUUAAUUCUAAUACACUCAAAAUAUUUCAGUAUGUCAUCCAUACAAAAUUUAUUUAUUAUUAUUUUUUGAGAUGAAGUCUCACUCACUCUGUCGCCCAGGCUGGAGUGCGGUGGCGCAAUCUCGGCUCACUGCAGCCUCCGCCUCCCAGGUUCAAGCAAUUCUCCUGCCUCCGCCUCCUAAGUAGCUGGGAUUACAGGUGCACACCCCCAUGCCUGGCUACUUUUUGUAUUUUUAGUAGAGACAG